AAUAAAGUGCCUGAAUUUUAAGGGCUACUUUGAUGUAGUAGAAAUGUGAUUUUGAUUUGCCUUUAUUG
rnacentral:tRNA from 1 species